rnacentral:rRNA from 1 species
UACGUAGGGGGCAAGCGUUGUCCGGAUUCAUUGGGCGUAAAGAGCGUGUAGGCGGCCAGGUAGGUCGGUUGUGAAAACUGGAGGCUCAACCUUCAGAGGUCGACCGAAACCAUCUGGCUAGAGUCCGGGAGAGGAGAGUGGAAUUCCCGGUGUAGCGGUGAAAUGCGCAGAUAUCAGGAAGAACACCCGUGGCGAAAGCGGCUCUCUGGAACGGUACUGACGCUGAGACGCGAAAGCGUGGGGAGCGGACAGG